UUGAUGUAUUUGUGUUUUGAGAGGGGGGGUAUUAUAAACAUUCAGUGAGAUAUCUGAUGAUGUCUCAUUCUUUUAAUCUUACCGUGUGAAAUGUAGGUAGCAAGCAUUUAAACAAACACCAUUUAAGUCAUUAAACAGUGGCUGCAUCUCACAAAACAGAUUUAAACAGAGCAGAUCCAUAAUACUAAUGAGCAAUCAGAUCUUUGUUUUGCUCGGUGAUUUAGCUGAUUUGCCAGCAGUUGUGUUGCUUAUGAGCUGUAAGCUGUCUUUUAUUCCUUAUUAUUGCAGCAGAACACUCGCUGCGGAAAAGGAGGGAGAAACAUUACAAUAUUUGGCAAAGGAUACAAGCCAUGUAAUGACAAAAUCUGUAUUCAUUUCAUGAGCAGAAAUUAAUCACGCUUUCCUGUGGUACAUUCUUAAUGCAAAUUUUCCGUCAACACAUUGUGCCUUGUGUUUGUGAGUUUAUUCGUAUGAAAUGGUGGAGCUGAUGUGUCAUCACAGAUGGGGUUGCAUGCUGGAUAAGGUGGCCGCAUUACUAACCAUCUCAGAUUAGGAAGUAUGCUGUUGAUGUGUUGUAUGUAUUCAUGCUUGUGCAGUGGGUCAAAGCUGACUACUGAGUGUUUUAUUCAUUGUUUGCUCUACAGCGGCAGGUUGAAAAUGUGAUCUUUGCUGUCUGUUCUUGUGUGUAUGUAUGGGACGGAUCCACUCUGUGGAAGAAAAUGUCACAGUAACUCUGCCGACGACCUUUCAGGAUUUUAAGAUAUUUUAAACAUGAAAUCAUGUGCGUACACAGAUUCACACACUAAUGAAAGUUAAAUGAAACAUUUAGUCUGCGGGGAAGUCUCCAUUGGUUGUUGUUAUUCAUCUAGGAAUUUGUGUUUUUCUCCGUUUGGGGGCAAAGAGCAAUUGGUCCCGAGUGUGAUGUUGUUUUCUUUUAGCACACAACAUGUCUCUGUUACAUACAGCUGGAUAUGGUUACCCACAGGGUGAUGUGUAUGUUUCUAGAGCAUAGGUUUUAAAGUCAAACUGAACUUUGAUCUCUUCUUAUUUUUUUUUGUGUAAGGAAAUAUAAACUGUAAUGAUACAGCAGAUACUGUGCAUAUUUUUCUACAGAGGAUAGAACUUUUUUGGGACUUAUUUGUAGAAACAGCAUUUAAGCAUCAAGCCUUGGGGUGGGUGUUUCCUAUGGCAACAAUUGAGAGCCAUGGUUGCUAGGAGACACGUUGUUAGCAUUUGUGGUGCUCUACUGACUGGAGAAAGCCAUGAUCAUAUAUCCUACGAAUGCUGAUACAAACCCGUAUAGCGCUGGUUGUCAACCAUCAACCAGCGAUUUAAGACCAGUAUCACUUUACAACAUUCAAUAUUUGGGGGGGAUUGUGUUGUUAAUUUUGUAGUCCUCUCAGAAAGUGGAAGCUAGUUAGCCAGCUUAUUACUAGCUCUCACUUUCUGAAUAGUUAGUAAGUAGUUAGUAGUAAGUUAGUAAGUAAGUCUAGUUAGCCUAGCUAGGCUAGUUAGCCUCCACUUCCACAGGUACUAGUGUGCACCUCCUGGGUCCUUAGCUUAGCUUUCCAGCUUUAGCAACUGUUUAGAUGCAAGUCAUCGGCAGCUCCCACACACUGUCUCUGUUUCAUGGGUCCAGAUCAUUGACAGUAUAUAUAAUAGACAGAGCUUCUGGGUCUGUGAAGUAAAGCAACGCAGAUGUGUCUUAAACCUGCAUUCUAUGCAUUGGCCAUCAGGGGGCAGCUCCAUGGGCUGGAAAAAAAUCUGAUAGUAUGGAGUCUUAUGGAGAAAUUAGCCUGCUUCUGACUUGUUUUAUUAGCUCAGUCAACAGUUUUCUAAUGAGUUUAUGGUCUCAAUCUCUAGUAUCAAGUCUUCUUCCAUACAGCAUGAGGCUCAUUUAGUAAAUUAUGGUCCACUUUACAGUAAAAUAGACAGUAAAGCAGGGUAUUUUGGGCGUGGCUACCUUGUGACUCACAAGUUAUUCUCAUUGAGUCUGUCCAGCGCAACGUACCAAACUCAGAUCAAACACUAAUAUAGAGGCAGUGUGGCUGCAAAAAUAUAAGUUUAAUUUCCUUUUUUUGUUAAUUAAAAUCAAAACAUCAAUUACAUAUAUACUGAUUUAACAAUAAAUCAUUUUAAUUUCAGUUUAAGUAUAAAAAACCCUCUCUUCACUAGCCACUAUUACACUUUAUCAUAUAUUAUGCAUUGGACCAAACCUAAGAUGACCUUAAAUGAUACUGAUACUACUGAUUUUCUGUACAAAACAAUGUGCCCAUAUCAGAUGUGGAGAUACUAACAUGAGCUGUCAUGCUAACCUGUAUACUCUCACCUGACUGUAAUAAUAUAACUCAGUGUUGUUUAAAUGGAAGCCAUUUUCAUUUUUUCUGUGUCCCUGACAGUAUUUGGCUGCAGGCAAACACAUUUUUUAGGUGUUACAACCAUCUCUGCUCUUCUUUUACCUAACAGGGGACAUUUCUUGCACUUUUGCAGCAUCUCCAACUGACCGUUGCACUUGUCUUCGUCAAUUGUACCGAUGGCAUCAUCAUCAAUUAUUAAUGCCGAGCAGUAAAUGUCUGAGAGACAUCCCACUGAGAGACCAAACAGCCAUGAACAGGGGUUAGUGGCAGGACUGGUGAAUGCUGCGAAUGGCAGCUGUGCCAUUUAGAGAAUGAUUGUUGGGAAGCUUCUACUCUAUAUUGAUAUGAACUUUGCUGCAGUAAGUUAAUGCAUCAGUAUAAUAACAUUUUAAUGUCUGCAGUGGCAUGGCCAUUUAAUAUUUGUCCAGAGAGGGAUGUAUAUGUAGAUCAGCAAUGACUAUAAUGAUGAUAGUGAUAAUCAUUUGGUCCUGCACUGCUAUCACUGUGUAAUGCAUUACUGCAAUCACCCUUGGUUAACAUUAAGAGGCUUUAGCUAUUAAGACUUUGAGCAGGCAAUGCUCAUCAUACAGUCUCCGAUUCAGUGAGCCAACCAUUUCAUUUUCUAGCUUUUUUUCUUGUUAAUGCUGCUUUUUCUUGUAUGUUGUUUUCCCGUUUUGCAAUGGGGUCUCAAAUGUGGGCCAUUUGUAUGAGUUAUGCUAAUUUGUUGGGGCAAUGAAUGCAUUAAUUUCAUUAGCACAUGGCCUCAAAGCAGUAAUUACCAGAGUAGGUGUGUCACAAGCAAUCAUGUUAAAAUUUGCCAGUUAAUUAUUAAGAUUUUGUUCUGAGGGACCUGGAUUUGACAUGAGUCGCCGAGGGAAAAAAAAAAGAGGAGAAAGUUAAUACAUUCCAGUGGCCGAGGCUAGGUGCUUGUUGUUGAACACAGUGGGGGUGGCUGUGGCAUUGUGGGCCUACUGGCAUGAUUUUUGCGUGUUGACAGCUCACAUUCUGGACUAAUUACCGCAAAUAGCAGAGGGCUAGCUGGUGCUUGGUCAAUCCAGGAGGGUGUAAUUAUAAUGAAAAGGAGGUCCAGAGCCACCUAAUGGCCUCUGCUCCUUUUGAUUGGAGUCCGGUGGAGAAGACAUUGGUGGGGAGUUGUGAAGGAGGAAGAGAUUCAGAGCUCCCUUCCUUGGCCCUGAUUAGACACAGAGCUGGACUGAGGAGGACAGACUUUGUGUCUAAUGAUGCAGUCUUAAUAGAAAAACAGUAAUUCUUGGUACCAGGAGGGGUCCUCACCUGAUAACUGUAGGAGCCAUAUUGGUAUAAUAGAGAACUGUUUUCAAAAGUUUAUGUCCUCUCAGGGAAUUUAAUUUCAUCAGUGUGGUGCUUUUAGAGUAGUUGUCUGGUUGUACAUUUUAAUUAUUUUAUAUUUUUGUUUAAUUUUUUGUGACAGGACACUUUUUUAUAAUCUUAAAUAAUAAAAUGCAAUCCAUGCAAAUAAUAUAUGGUUGCAAAAGGAAAUGAUAAGGUAUGUUAAUGUGAAUGUCUUGAAGGUCCAGUGUGUAGGAUUUAGUGGCAUCUAGCGGUGUAGCUACAGAUUGCAACUCUUGUUUUAGUCUCCCUUUCCAACCGCCACGGAGAAACUUGGCCACAAAAAACGGCCCUAUGUAGAUGUAGAGCAGGUGUUUGGUUUGUCUAUUGUGGGCCACUGUAGAAACAUGGCGGUUCAAUAUGGCAGCCCCCCCACGGGACGUGACCCUGCAGCAUUGGUAAAAUCUGCUUAUUCUAAGGUAACGAAAAUAACGAUUCUUAUUUUCAGGUGAUUUUACACUAAUAAAAACAUACCUAUGAAUAUUAUAUUCCAUUACCAGCUUUAUAUCUUUAAUGACUACUUUAUAUAAUUUUCCAUGGCAACCACUACAUAAUACAAGUUGACAAGGAUUGGACCAUUUAGAAAAUUGGUUUAAUCCCAUCUGUACAUCUUCAACAAAAACUGUAUUAUCUGUAGCUAACAAGAUGUUAUUCUGAAUACUCUCUGAGGCUAUAAUGCUGUAUAAAACUACCGCAUUGCAAUAUUACUGUUUUAAAGUAGCAAAGGUAUCAUAUAGUGGUACCUAAUUGCAUGGUUUACUCAGGGAAACAAACACAAAAUAAAAUGCAAAAUCCAAAAUACAAAGACAUAGAUUAUACAAAUAAUCCUGAUAUUUUUAAACCAACAUUUGCAGACUAACAGUAUAUUAUAUUAAUUCAUAUUAAUACCCUAAUGGAAUCCUCUUUGUUUCUUGUAAUGCUGCAUAUUCUUCUCUUUCUUUGAUUGAAGGAGCUCUGUGUUUCCCACUUAAGCCUCUCUAACAGCCAAAUUCUAAAAUGAGUACAACAUGAAGAUUCCUUAAAUCAAUUAUUUUAUGAACACUGUCACCCUCUGCUGCAGUGACAGGUCUGCAAAAAUGAUGCCAUUCCACUUUGUCACACAAGAAAACAAACAGUGAUGCCACUGGGUGUAAAGCUUGGUCAUGGUGUAUGAAAGUGUAAUGUAACAAUGUGCAGGUUGAAUAACUUUCAGAAUGUAUACUUAAAAUGUCAUAGAAAUUAGGAUUUGAAAAGUAAAUAUAUCAUUAUUAUAUUUUCCAGACCACAAUGGCAGAAAUUUAGAGUAAACAAAGAAGAUGCUUUGGAGAAAUGUUUAGAUAGUAGAGAACUUCUCCAGUCAUUGUUAAUGUGCUAGUUUGUGUUUCACUUCAUCACACAGACGUAUACAUUAUUUUGGACAAAAACAUUAUGCAAAAUAGAAGGGGGAAAAAAAGGAAAUAUAGAUGAUGUUUUAUACAUAUUGCAGACAAAAUAGAAUUUAUUGAAUAAAUGGCAUUUCAAAGACAUUGUAACACAAAUGAACUGGUUUUAAAAGGUAGCGGGCAUUUAAAGUCAUAACACAGAAAUCAGUCCAGACAGAUAAACACUCUAACCUGAGAGCUUAGUUUAUACACAACGUUCUUAUAACUUCAAACCUGACACAGUUCUGCACCAUUUUGGAACCUUCCCCGCCCCGUGUCUCUCAAGUGUCUCCUUAAAGGUGUUACCAUUUAUAUCACCCCCCCUCCCCCAAAAAAUGUUAAUCAUCGCUUGAUUUUAUAUGGAAAGCAGAUUAUCCUUUGAUUUUGAUGAAUGUAGCAGCUGCCAGACUCUUCAUUUGACUAAAAGCAGGACAUUCUGCCGAGGCCUCUCGUAUGUCACUAAGCCUCUGUCAGGACACUACUGUGACAGGAGAUGACACAUGAAAGGAAUUCCUCCUCAUGGCUUUCCCAGGACAAUGGAACAUGGCCUUGAGGUUGUGUGUGCGUGUGUGUGUGUGUGUGUGUGUGUGUGAAUUUUUUUUUACAAUAUUUUAAUAAAUGUUUGUAAAUGUUAGUCAUUUUCUUUAAGUUGUAAACUGGAAUUUGGAUAGUCCACACUUUUUGUGUGAGAAAAUAGAAACUAUAAUACUGUUCUACAGUAAUUCUUUUCUAUUUUUCAUUAGUGCUUUUAGCAAACGCUAAUGGUUUAUAACGCAGUCUGUCCCUUGACAACAUUCAACAGAGGAACCAUCACACUGUUUCAUUUGGAAAGCUGACGCUAGCAAGCUAGGCUAACUAGUGUCCAUUUGGAAAGUGGAAGCUAAUUAGCCUAGCUUGGUAAUGUUAGCAGGGAUUCCCAUUAGACGUCACUUUUUUACUCUUUUUUUAUUUUAACACCUGAUGAGUCACCGGGAGCUCCCAUACACUCACUGUUGUAUUUGUCUAACAUUAUAGAAGAAAGCAGGUUAGAUGUGAUGGUUAACGACCACACUGAAAACUCAAUGCAACAGAUACUCCUGUAACCAGCACAUCAAUCAUGACAUGGAAUAACGUAGGGAAUGCGGAAAUCACAGAUAGGAUAACAACGUUAAUCCACCAAGUUAACUGCCUGUAUGGCUGUUAACCAUUUACAGUUGUUAGUGCCCGCCCACAUAGACAUUGAACCAAUCAAACCAUUCCCAGUACCUACAUUGUCACAUUUAACCAGAGAUCUAUGAGAACACUAAUACAGUCAAAAACAAACACCAAGGAGAUAUAUAUAUACAGUCGUAUGCAAAGGUUUGGGCACCACUUGACAAAUAGUCUAUUAUGGCGAUUCUUUAAUUGAAGAGAUAUAAACACAGCCCCUUUAGGAUAUGGAACAUAAAGCAUAUUUUCAGUAAACAUUAAUGCAUAGUUUUGUUUUAAUUGAACUAACUAUACAUUUAUGUUUGCUAAAAACAUUGUUUGUUGUUCAAUAUCAAAAAAUCAAAAAUCCUUGAAAAAUAAAGAUUUUUUGUUUGUUUUAUUUCAGUUAAACUUUAAAACGUAAUGUUCUUUCCUUACUGCAAAUAGUGCUGGUCUGCACAAAUAGUACCAUCUGUGUUUGGUUCAAAUUCCACACUAAAACUGAAACUUUAGACAAGUUUAGACUGCAGAGCCAUAAUAUCACUGGACAGAAAAACAAAAACUACAGCAUGUGGUUUGGUUGGAUAAGGUUGCAAACAAGAUUUAAUUUACAUCAUAGCAGGGUCAGUCUGUAGCCAUUAUUCUAAGCAAAGACUUGGACUCUUGGUAAUUUCACCCUUUUUAUUUAACCUCCAUGCCCUCCUUCUCUCUCCUGCCAUCCGUCCCCGAGCACAAUUCAUUUGAGUUCCUGUUCGGGAGGGUCCUGAGGCUGAUUCAAUUAAAUUUCCUUUAAUUGGCUUUCAGGCAUCCAAACUGAAACUGAUGGAGAAUUAAUAACAGCUCCAGUUGGUCUCCAUACUGUUUGCAACCUUGGAAACAUCCUAAAAAAUGGAGUCUAAGUCAGUCCCAUUUUCCACGUCUGUUUUGAUAGUUCGAUAAUACAGCUGUGAGGAAAACGUGGUCUCAGUUACUGUGUGGUCCUUGAUCUUGGUAUGCAAUUCAUCUCUUUGUCAACACCCUGGAUAUUUGGUGCAAACUUUGUACCCACAAAAACACAGCAGAGGCCAAAGAAAGCUCUGCAUGAGUACAGUAUAUCUAACUGUUCCUACUUAAGCUAAAAUAUACAUAUGGUUUCAAAAUGUAUACUGUUCUAUAAACCCAUCAAAUCUAUCAAUUAGUGAUGAAAGAUUAAAACACUAUGCAUUCAUGUUAAUCCUUCACAGUAUGUUCUCUCUUAUUAGCUCCUCACUGAAGCACAGGUUGUACAAAACGAACUUAAAAAAGAAUAAUUUUUCUGUCUGACAAGUAGUUCUCUGCGGGUAUGGCUCACUCUGUGUCCAGAGAAAGAGAAAUCAUUUGCAGAUGCGUUACUAUUUAGGUAGCUAACAAAAGAAGAGUUGUGAAAUGGUAGGAAAUGAUGGCUGCUAAAAUUAAGGUUUGAAGUUCAUAUAUCAUUAACAGCCAUGAAAUCAACUUUUCCUCUGACUGUGCUUUCCCCCCAGAGUCUGCCUUUGUCUUCAAACAGCGCCAAAGCAAUCAUUAUGCUCAGACAUAAUGUACCAUAAUGACAGUAAUUUCAGUAUCAAAUUUUCAAACGUUAGGCCUUAAUUCAUUGUGGUUAAGUAGCUUAGUUGUAAUUCACAUUUUCUACCCUUCUUAGCAGAGUGCUCAAGGAAUGAGAUGUCUAAAGCAGGACAGGAGAGCACUGCAUGCAGGAACAUUUGAAAGGCUGUAGUCAUUUACAUACUGUCUCAAAUACAUGAGGCCUGUGUAGCAUUCAGAGCAGCAAAACAAAAAGUCAUUCUGUAGUCUUUUCAUUUACAUCUUUACAUUGAAUUUAUUCUUUUAUAUCCAACUUCUUAAUAUGUCAAAAAAGCAGCAGCAUAAAUCCAUAUGUACAGGAUCAUUUCCAUCCCGUACUAUCAGCAUCAAAAUAGAUGUCAGCAUGCUGUGUUUGCGACUCUAAAGUUUGCCAGUUAAAACAACAGUUCUCUGAAAUGAGAAAAACCUCUGUCUGCAAAACCUUUGUCUGCAAAGUUUUGAUAAUCGAUUAAUCACUGAAAUGAUUUUUUAAGCAAAAGUAACACAAAAAACUCAAUUUUGACUACUUCUUUUUUGUUUUGUCAUCCAUGAUUGUAAACUAACUAACAAAAUAAAACACUUUAAAAUGUCAUCUUACACUUGCAAGGGACAUCUUUCAUUAUUUUCUGACAUUUUAUAGACUGAACAAAUAAUCGAUUAUUCAAGAAAAUAAUAAUAAUAUUACAAUAAGUUAGUUGCAGCCCUAACACAGAGGGAACUAUUCAAUCCCAAGAUUCCAUCUUUUUUGUGACUGCACCAUCCCUUCAAAUGGGAUUUUAAAAAAGUGUCAUGUGCAUAAUUUUAUUCACACUUCUCAAAAUCGUGUUUGUUAUCUUUGGAGAUUUUGGGAUAACCAGAGUUAGAAUUUGAAUAAGGCCGGUGAGUGUAUAUUUUUGUCAUUAUCAACAUACCCCAUGAAAAGACCAAAACUAACAUUGUAUUAGUCUCUUAAUACUUCCCUACCCAGUCUGUAGCACUCAACCUCUAGCCCAUUGGUUUAUACUUAAGACUUAAACACACAAUCACGUACUUUCACUUAAAAAAACAGCAACAUCACUAAAACACAAGCAGUGGUACUAGUGUAUUUAUUAGGUUCUAUUUUCAGAUGCAGAUUACGGUAACACGUUUGGUGCGCUAGUAAGUUUACAAGUAUUUACAUCAAUUUAGUUUUGUCUUUUCUACAUGGUUUGUUGACAGUAAUGAAAUAAAAAUAACAUUUUACCAUUACCAUGAAGUUGCGUGGGUUUGUACAAUGUUUGGUGCACAGCAUUAGUUUUUGAUGACAUCUUAUAAUGACUUACUAAGUGGCAUCAUCAGUGACAUUUUUUGAGAUUCAUCGUCAAUUGAUUUUUAUUUUGAUUUGAUUUAUAAUUUAAUUAUUAUUACAUUGAUUUUUGUUAAUAUUAACAAAAUAUUCCCCUUGAACAUACUGUAUUCUUCAGCUUCUAGUAAGAUAUAAGCCAUAAGAUAUGAGACAGUGUGGUGGUGGCUUCAUUAUAAUGAUUUGUUGGCAUUCAAAAAACGCUCAUAAAACUUCCUGAUAACUACCUGAGUUUGAUAGCAGGAGGCCUGAAGCCUAUGUGUGAUGUUGGACUUUACUACAUAGAGCAACUAAAACGAUUAAAAUAAUGUAGGAAAACUAACAAACUGUAUUUAAUGAAAACCAUUCCAGCUUUGUGUGUUUUUGCUGCUUUGACCAAUUCUAACCCUUCCCAUAUGUAUUUGUUCAUUAAUCAACAUCUUCUUCAUAGCAGACCUUGCUAGUGUGGAUGAGUAUUUUCAUUAUAAGGCCCCUCACAGCCAUUAUGCACAGAGUCUUUCGGUUCCAAACUGAGCUGUAAAUUUUGAGAGAAUCUGACACCCCUGCCCGAGGGUUACAGCAGAAUGCUAACGAGGCCACAGCGACAUUUCCAUCACCAUACAGUCAGUCGCACCAUACAUCAGCUCUGCGCUGAACAUCUCCUAGCGACGCAUGAAGUCAGUGACAAUUUCAGACGUAACACUUUAUUAGCAUCCCUCCCAUAUCCGCGAUGUAAUGAAUGAGCCCAUUUAAACAGGAUUUACGAUAUCUUUAAAACUUGAUUGCUUAGAAUUUGAGAAUUAUUCAUAAGACUAAAGCAUCAUUUGUCAUACUGCGAGUGCUGUUUUGGUGGGAACAAAUGGUUUUGUUGUAGUUUUUCAAAUGAACUCCAUUUCAUCCACUCUUCAAAUAAGCCAUUUGUAUGCAUAUAUGUCCACACAACGGAUUUAAUUAAAGGGAAUGAGGCUCAGGUGACAACUCACAAUCAAGUUUUCUUCAUAAUGCAUUGUGCCGCUAUCGAGCUAACGUAACAAAUAUGGAUGCAGAUGAUUAAGAAUACAUACACGUAUUGUAUUACAUGGCAACUUUUGCUGAAACAAAGAGUACAGUGUUCAUACACAGGCAGGACUGCGACUCUGAGGUGUUAAGGGAUAUAUAAUACAUGUCAGAUUUGACUUUGCUUAAAGGUACUUCUUCUCUUAUUUAACAAUACACUUAAGGAAUUAUAUUAUCUCCCCUUGAGUUACAUUUCCUUAUUUCCACAAUGAGAGAGGAAGAGGCUUCCUCGCCUUGUUACAAAGAUUAUUGUGCUCACUUCCCGAGGCAGUGUGACCAUGCUUUGUGUGCGAUGCCCAGAUCAUCUCUCAAUUACACAAGGAUCCUGAGGCAGAGGGUGUGGACCCAAGUGAAGGACCAGUUAUGUACACACACACAUACACACACACGCUGCUAUAGCUUGGAGGCAUGGCUUACUAUAGCCACAGCCAAGAAUGAGGCCUCUCAGGAUAGAUUUACACACAAAUAAAACCAGCCUUAUCUUGGCCCACAUGUGAACGAGAACUGAUUACACGGUCUACAUUUCAAUGCUCAGAUUAAAUGGAGUCAAUUUCCUAUGGCCUAUUUAAACCAAUUCCAACCUGAAAACACAAUGAAACCAAAUCUGAUAUUACUGCAAGAAGACCAGGGACGCUGGAAGUCAGUCACAGUUGGAGGGUGCUGGGAGAAGCAGAAAGCAAACUGGAACAGCAACUGUAUGUCAAAGCAGCCACGGCAACUACACAGUCAACAACACAACAACUAAAGCAUGAGAACUGCAAGGGGAGGAAGAGGGAGAGACAGUGGGCAGAGAUCUGAACCACGACCAGUUCAUCAUAGUUUCUAAGAAUGCAGAGCAGUGGGGAUACAGACCACAUUUCACUGAGGAGGCAAGUGUUUUAAUAUCACAGCGAUACUUCUGUCCAUAUUCGCACGCCCCCUCCCUCUUGCUCGUCUACAUGAGCUCUCUCUGUCUGUCUGUCUGUCUCUCUCUCUCUCUCUCUCUCUCUCUCUCUCUCUCUCUCUCUGAUGCGAGUUUGCAUCACACUUUUUUAUCAAUUGAUGGUUUUUAUAUCCUUCCUGGCACCCCUACUUCCCGCCUCUACAUCCUGAUUAAGACCUCAAAUAACUUCAACUGUCUGAGAAACUGUUUGGGAGGUUGAGUUUUUUCAAUGAUUUAAGACUGGUGCAGUAAGUAAGUAAUAUGUGUAUAACUGCAGUCAAAAAUUAAAAUGUUCUUUUAUAUUAUUCUUUUAAUUGAUAGCGACAGCUGAAGAUAGACAGGAAAGGGGGUAGAAUGAGAGAGGGAUGACAUGCAUCCUAAAAAUGGAAAUGUUUUUGAUUAUUCAGUAAAAUAAUGUUGGCAAUGGAAAUAUAAUGUAUCCAGACGAGAUACUAUGUCUGCCUUAAACCCCAUUUCCCAACUCUUUUUGUUUUACCGCAAUAGUUACCUUUGUGGCAGACACUAAUAUUAUUUUGCUGCUUUCCAUAAGUCAUUACUGUCACAUCAUUAUCACGGACAUGCAGACUUAAAGUAUAGUUUAGUAUUUUUAUAGUAUAGUAUAACAUUUAACAGGCACUCUUCUCCAAAGUGGUUUAUGAUGAGAGCAGCGUAAGACUCAGUUAAGGUCUUUGCUUGCCCAAAUUAAAGGUACUGGAUUGGAUCAAAGCCCUAUGAAUUAUUUUCAUUGUGAAUUAAUCUGCUGAUCAUAUUUUAAUAUUUAUCCUAGAACUCUGGGUAACCCCUUUUUUACCUUUAAUAAACAUCUCGUGCCUUCAGUAAAAAGCUAGAAUAAGCUGAAACAGAAUACACAUGAUACUGUCAGACAGACUGGAAAACAACCUUAAAGACUCCUGCACUGUUACUAAUAGUUCCUUAUUGUGAGAUAAUGCUAAAUGCCUAACACUGGCACCAGCACAUACAAGUACUAAAUACAAUGAACUGAACAGUUUCACAGCAGUAUUUUCUAAAUGUUUGCUAACAUUAGCCACCAUAAGCUGCUGGUCAUACCAGACCAAGUGAAGCUGUAGCAGCAAAAUCCUUGAGUGCAGUGAACUGAGCAAUGGUUCAUUUUAUUCUUAAUGAAUACAGCUUUUCAGUUGCAUGAGGAAGAAUUUGUUACAUCUUGUGUUGAAGCUUUGUUUAAAUCUCUUAAAAGCACAUGGAUAAAGCUUAUACUGACAUUAACAAAAUUACCAUUAUCUUUAAAUGGUUGGCAUAUUCCACAGCUCUAGUGGGCAACAUUAUAAUACCAUUGGUGUAAGACUGCAGCUACAAAUACUGUGUGGUUGUGUUUGUUUAAACUAGUUCACCUUAGGUAUCUCUUCACUGGAUUUUUCAAUAUAUUUUAAAGGCUGUAGUCAUUGGUUCUACUAUGAACAACUCGUCCAGUAAUCACCUAAGGUCAUUCUGAUGGUUAGUAAAUUAAUGAAACAACCUUCAGAGAUGGAGAGUAUGUUCACUCAAUUUUUGUUUAAUUUAAUUUUAUGUUUAAAAUGAAAUCCUUGUGAGAUUUAAUUAACUGAAUUGUGAGGAGUUACUCCAAACCAAAAACUAUUUAUUAUCCAUUAAGUCUUUUCAAACUAAGUGUGUGUUUGUGUGUGUGUGUGUAUGUGUGUGUGUGUAAGGGACGCAUGAAUGCUCGCACACGCGUGGGUGUUUUUUAAAAUCCCACACAGUCAUAUUGCAAUGCCUCAGCAAAGCUCUUGAUUAGUUGUGGUUUUAUGUUUGGAUGGUCCAUUUAAUUAGGUUAUGUACGAGAUAAAGGCCAGCCAAAAGUAAUCACAAGGAUUAUUUACUCUUGUUAAUUGAGGUUCUAUCUUAACACCACAACUAAAGGUUAAUGUUCUCUUGGUAUAUUAUUUACCGUCCACGCUCCAGAGGCCGGCUCGCACCUCACCCAGUGGAGGAGGGAAAGGAGACUCCACAGGUAUGGGGGGGAUGGAAAAUGAUUUGUAGCGUAAUAUUGACAGUAGUUGAACUUUGGACAUUUAACGGCCCAGCUCUAAGCCUUCUGAAAUACUGUACAACCUUCAUUUUAAUAAUCUUAUUUCGGCUCAGGUGUGAUGCUCAAGUUUCCUGGAGCUUUAGGUGGGUGCAGCCCAUCACCACUCCUAAUCUCUCCUUUAACUAACCACAGAUAAUUCUCCAUGCACAUGUAAAUCAUAGAGCGAGCUUUAAAGUGAAUUGAAAGGUAGAUUUGAAGUGACAUUGUGUGAUUAAUUCUGCCGCUCUCUAAAUGACCCUUCGUUCUGUCUUCAUAGGAAAGCUGUUCUAAUAGUCUUUCCAAUAGUGAUUAAAAUUACAAAAAUGUGAACCUGUAGGUUAAUAAAAAUGGUAAUUUAACUAGUAUCUGAUUUAAUUGACUCUGAAGAAGUACUUAAACGUGUUUGCACUCUGGAAAAUCUACAUGGCUCAGCGGCAAAGAAAUUGGAAUAUCCAGCUGUCAAGAUAAUAAAUUUGACUAUUUCAUCACUGUAAUCUUCAUACAAUCUCCCUUUGUGCUGGUCCCUACCGCUCGCCGCUAAUGUAAUAAAUCACCUCCAUGUUUGGAAUUGUUUCAUGUGUUUUAGAGUAAUUGUAAUACACUCAAAAGACCCCAAGUGUGGUGAUCAGCCGGUGUUCUUAACCUUUGUAGAUUCAAGAUUUGGAAAGUUUAACUCAACUUUCCACCUACAUCAAACUUCUUCUGUGUUUCCAUAAGAAUGGCACUCUCUCCAUCAGUGCAGCGUGGGGUGGAAUGUACAGAGGACUGGUACACUUAGACAUGGGGCUUCAUUUUAACUCCCCCUAUAUAGCGUUGAUAAGCAGUCUAUAAACAACUGAUAAAUGGUUUAUAACACACUGUAAGUAGAUAUGACAAGUGUUUACCAGGGGUGUAAUCUGUAUGUCACAAAAAUAUCUCUGGCCAUGGCUCAUACAGGAAGUUAAAAUUUGUCUCGUCUGCUUCAUUUUCUGCAUUAAAUUGUUUUUUAUGAAAAUAAAUUUAGUAAGUCUGAAGGUCCUGGCGAGAGUGAAUAGUGGAAAUACAACAGAAAGUUUCAACAGUGGGAAAAUAAAAGUCAGAAUUUCAUUGGGCCAUAUUGCAGGAUUUUUCUUCAAAAACAGGAGGUGGUGCGUAUAAAGGGAGGAGGUCCAGAUGAAAAUGAAGUUGGUUUGAAGUGUUUAUGAAAUAGGUGAGAAAGCCAUUGAUAAAAAAAAAAACCUCUCUUUUGUUUGUUUGUUUGUUUGUUUGUUUGUUUUGGCAUUCACCUUUCAGACGCGUCUCUCUUGUAUCUGUUCAGAGCCAUUGUCUGUUCAUAUCCAAAUAAUGGAUUUGUUUAUUAAUGUCUGUAUAAUUUAAUCAGAGGAAACAUUUAAGAAGCCUCAGUUGUUUGUUUUCUGUUUUUUUUUCUCUUUUCUUUUUUUUCCUCCAGGUUGGAGUUUGCUUUUUAUGGCAGCCAUACUCAGACAUUUUCAUACUGGAGAUAUUAUGUGCGAGCACAUUGAGCACAACUUAUAUUAGUAAAAUGUAUACUGAUUCAUUUUAGAGGACUCAUCGCUGCUAUUGCAAUAUCUAUAAGAUAUGGACAUUCCAUGAGCAUUGUUAAUCUUAAUAAAUCUUAGUUUCACUUUA